GACGAACGCUGGCGGCGUGCCUAAUACAUGCAAGUUGAGCGAUGAAGAUUGGUGCUUGCCCCAAUUUGAAGAGCAGCGAACGGGUGAGUAACGCGUGGGGAAUCUGCCUUUGAGCGGGGGACAACAUUUGGAAACGAAUGCUAAUACCGCAUAACAACUUUAAACAUAAGUUUUAAGUUUGAAAGAUGCAAUUGCAUCACUCAAAGAUGAUCCCGCGUUGUAUUAGCUAGUUGGUGAGGUAAAGGCUCACCAAGGCGAUGAUACAUAGCCGACCUGAGAGGGUGAUCGGCCACAUUGGGACUGAGACACGGCCCAAACUCCUACGGGAGGCAGCAGUAGGGAAUCUUCGGCAAUGGACGAAAGUCUGACCGAGCAACGCCGCGUGAGUGAAGAAGGGUUUCGGAUCGUAAAACUCUGUUGGUAGAGAAGAACGUUGGUGAGAGUGGAAAACUCAUCAAGUGACGGUAACUACCCAGAAAGGGACGGCUAACUACGUG
rnacentral:rRNA from 1 species